rnacentral:rRNA from 1 species
GACGAACGCUGGCGGCGUGCUUAACACAUGCAAGUCGAACGGUGAAGCACCUUCCUUUUGGUGGGUGUGGAUGAGUGGCGCACGGGUGAGUAACACGUGAGUAACCUGCCCCCUUCUUCUGGAUAACCGCAUGAAAGUGUGGCUAAUACGGGAUAUUCUGUGCCUGCUGCAUGUUGGGUGUGGGAAAGCUGCGCUAUUGGGUGUUUUUGGUGGGGGGUGGGCUCGCGGCCUAUCAGCUGGUUGGUGGGGGGAUGGCGUACCAAGGCGGUGACGGGUAGCCGGACUGAGAGGGUGGACGGUCACACUGGGACUGAGACACGGCCCAGACUCCUACGGGAGGAAGCAGUGGUGAAUAUUGCACCAUGGGCGCAAGCCUGAUGCAGCGCCGCCGUGUGAGGGAUGGAGGCCUUCGGGUUGUAAACCUCUUUCGCAAGUGAAGCAGGCCUGUCCCAUGUGGGUGGGUUGACGGUAGCUGGAUAAGAAGCGCCGGCUAACUACGUG